rnacentral:rRNA from 1 species
AGUGAACGCUGGCGGUAGGCCUAACACAUGCAAGUCGAACGGCAGCACAGAGGAGCUUGCUCCUUGGGUGGCGAGUGGCGGACGGGUGAGGAAUACAUCGGAAUCUACUCUGUCGUGGGGGAUAACGUAGGGAAACUUACGCUAAUACCGCAUACGACCUACGGGUGAAAGCAGGGGACCUUCGGGCCUUGCGCGAUUGAAUGAGCCGAUGUCGGAUUAGCUAGUUGGCGGGGUAAAGGCCCACCAAGGCGACGAGCCGUAGCUGGUCUGAGAGGAUGAGCAGCCACACUGGAACUGAGAAACGGUCCAAACUCCUACGGGAGGCAGCAGUGGGGAAUAUUGGACAAUGGGCGCAAGCCUGAUUCAGCCAUACCGCGUGGGUGAAGAAGGCCUUCGGGUUGUAAAGCCCUUUUGUUGGGAAAGAAAUCCAGCUGGCUAAUACCCGGUUGGGAUGACGGUACCCAAAGAAUAAGCACCGGCUAACUUCGUGCCAGCCGCCGCCGUAA